rnacentral:rRNA from 1 species
UACGAGGGGGGCGAGCGUUGUUCGGAAUUAUUGGGCGUAAAGAGCGUGUAGGCGGCCAAACAGGUCAGCUGUGAAAACUCGAGGCUCAACCUCGAGACGUCGGUUGAAACCGUUUGGCUAGAGUCCGGAAGAGGAGAGUGGAAUUCCCGGUGUAGCGGUGAAAUGCGCAGAUAUCGGGAAGAACACCCGUGGCUAAGGCGGCUCUCUAGUACGGUACUGACGCUGAGACGCGAAAGCGUGGGGAGCGAACAGG